rnacentral:rRNA from 1 species
UACGGGGGGGGCAAGCGUUGUUCGGAAUUACUGGGCGUAAAGGGCUCGUAGGUGGCCAACUAAGUCAGACGUGAAAUCCCCAGGCUCAACUUGGGAACUGCGUCUGAUACUGGAUGGCUUGAAUUCGGGAGAGGGAUGCAGAAUUCCCGGUGUAGCGGUGAAAUGUGUAGAGAUCGGGAGGAACACCGGUGGCGAAGGCGGGUCUCUGGGCAUCUCCUGACGCUGAGGCGCGAAAGCGUGGGGAGCAAACGGG